CCAUGGUACGCCACUGCUCAGGAAAGCCUAGAAUUUCCCGACCCUCCAUCCCGAAGAGCUGAAAGGGCGAGUUUGCAAAGGAAGUGUAAAAGGGGAAACAGGUUUUCCUGUUGUGACUACAAUGAUGACUCUGUGUAACCAACUGUGUCCAUUUCUGGACACUGCAAUUUAAGGAGGGUGUUGACAAACUGGAACGUGUGCAGAGGAGGAGACUGGGGGGAAAUAUAAUACAAUAGCCAUCUUCAGCUAUCUCAAGGGCUCCUUCCUUUCACUUUUCUCUCUCUCUUUUUUUAAAAAUAAGACUUUUAUUUUAUUUAUACAACAAGAAACACACACACACACACACACACAAAACCCCACAAAUACC